rnacentral:rRNA from 1 species
CCUACGGGAGGCAGCAGUGGGGAAUUUUGGACAAUGGGCGCAAGCCUGAUCCAGCCAUGCCGCGUGAGUGAAGAAGGCCUUCGGGUUGUAAAGCUCUUUCAGACGGAAAGAAAUCUCUUGGGUUAAUACCCUGGGAGGAUGACGGUACCGUAAGAAGAAGCACCGGCUAACUACGUGCCAGCAGCCGCGGUAAUACGUAGGGUGCGAGCGUUAAUCGGAAUUACUGGGCGUAAAGCGUGCGCAGGCGGUGAUGUAAGACAGAUGUGAAAUCCCCGGGCUCAACCUGGGAACUGCGUUUGUGACUGCAUCACUCGAGUACGGCAGAGGGAGGUGGAAUUCCGCGUGUAGCAGUGAAAUGCGUAGAUAUGCGGAGGAACACCGAUGGCGAAGGCAGCCUCCUGGGCCAGUACUGACGCUCAUGCACGAAAGCGUGGGGAGCAAACAGGAUUAGAUGCCCUGGUAGUCCACGCCCUAAACGAUGUCAACUAGUUGUUCGGUGAGGAGACUCAUUGAGUAACGCAGCUAACGCGUGAAGUUGACCGCCUGGGGAGUACGGCCGCAAGGUUAAAACUCAAAUGAAUUGACGG